UACGGAGGGGGUUAGCGUUGUUCGGAAUUACUGGGCGUAAAGCGCGCGUAGGCGGAUUAGAAAGUUGGGGGUGAAAUCCCGGGGCUCAACCCCGGAACUGCCUCCAAAACUACUAGUCUAGAGUUUGAGAGAGGUGAGUGGAAUUCCGAGUGUAGAGGUGAAAUUCGUAGAUAUUCGGAGGAACACCAGUGGCGAAGGCGGCUCACUGGCUCGAUACUGACGCUGAGGUGCGAAAGUGUGGGGAGCAAACAGG
rnacentral:rRNA from 1 species